rnacentral:rRNA from 1 species
UGGGGAAUUUUGGACAAUGGGGGCAACCCUGAUCCAGCAAUGCCGCGUGUGUGAAGAAGGCCUUCGGGUUGUAAAGCACUUUUGUCAGGGAAGAAACGGUGAAGGCUAAUAUCCUUUGCUAAUGACGGUACCUGAAGAAUAAGGACCGGCUAACUACGUGCCAGCAGCCGCGGUAAUACGUAGGGUCCAAGCGUUAAUCGGAAUUACUGGGCGUGAAGCGUGCGCAGGCGGUUGUGUAAGUCAGAUGUGAAAUCCCCGGGCUUAACCUGGGAAUGGCAUUUGAGACUGCACGGCUAGAGUGUGUCAGAGGGUGGUAGAAUUCCACGUGUAGCAGUGAAAUGCGUAGAGAUGUGGAGGAAUACCGAUGGCGAAGGCAGCCCCCUGGGAUAACACUGACGCUCAUGCACGAAAGCGUGGGGAGCAAACG